UAGGGAAUAUUGCAAAAUGGGCGAAAGCCCGAUGCAGCAACGCCGCGUGGGCGAUGAAGGCCUUCGGGUCGUAAAGCCCUUUUUGAGGGGAUGAGGAAGGACAGUACCCUCAGAAUAAGCCUCGGCUAACUACGUGCCAGCAGCCGCGGUAAAACGUAGGUGGCGAGCGUUAUCCGGAUUUACUGGGCGUAAAGCGCGUGCAGGCGGAUUGGAGAGUUGGAUGUGAAAGCUCCCGGCUUAACUGGGAGAGGUCGUUCAAUACUUCCAGUCUUGAGUGCAGUAGAGGGAAGUGGAAUUCCGGGUGUAGUGGUGAAAUGCGUAGAUAUCCGGAGGAACACCAGUGGCGAAAGCGGCUUCCUGGACUGUAACUGACGCUCAGACGCGAAAGCUAGGGUAGCAAACG
rnacentral:rRNA from 1 species